CACGGGGGGAGCAAGCGUUGUUCGGAAUCACUGGGCGUAAAGGGCGCGUAGGCGGGAUGGCAAGUCAGUCGUGAAAUCUCUCGGCUCAACCGAGAAACGUCGGCUGAUACUGCCGUUCUUGAGGGAUGCAGAGGAGACUGGAAUUCCCGGUGUAGCGGUGAAAUGUGUAGAGAUCGGGAGGAACACCGGUGGCGAAGGCGGGUCUCUGGGCAUCUCCUGACGCUGAGGCGCGAAAGCGUGGGGAGCAAACGGG
rnacentral:rRNA from 1 species